UGUUAAUUCAGAGUUCAUGUAACUACAUUAUCAUUAAUACAUACGCCAAGACUGUCAUUGGUGUGUGUUCCGGUUUUUGUCUUCCCCCUGUUUCACACACACCUGCUCAUGAGCGCAUCUUCACCACCUGUGCCUCGUUCACCCUAAUUACCCCUUGUAUUUAACCUCGUGUCUCAUUCUCUCUCGUCACCAGUUAGUUGUAUCUUGUCGUCGCAUUCCAGGAGGAAUAGGAGCACUGCUCUCCCAGAAAUCUCUCAAGGAUGGUAAAUUACAUCCUUGUGCUUUUCUCUCCAAAAACUGACCCCAGCUGAGAGAAAUUAUGACAUUGGUGACCGUGAACUGCUGGCAGUCAAGGUGGCUUUGAUGGAGUGGAGGCACUGGCUCGAGGGGGCACAGAUUCCGUUUUUAGUAUGGACAGAUCACAAGUACCUUGAGUAUAUUCAAUCUGCUAAAAGAUUAAAUGUGAGGCAAGCUAGAUGGGCUCUGUUCUUCACUAGAUUAAAUUUCAUGUUAUCCUCCCGACCUGGUUCUAAAAAUGGUAAGCCAGAUCCUUUGUCACAUAUUUUCUGCGAAGAGAAUUCUUUGUCCGACCCUAAGACUAUUUUGCCCAAGUCAUGUUUCAUUUACGCUUUUGUUAUGGACGUUGAAACUGCAGUUAAAGAGGCUCUGAAAAACACUCUUAGCCCUGAAGAUUGCCCUGAAAACAGGCUUUAUGUGGUUCCGACCUUAAGGGGAGGAGUCAUCCACUGGGCUCACACGAACCGUACUGUAUGUCAUUGCCAAAACGCAAUCAGUGGUCGAACAGCGCUUUUGGUGGCCUAAUGUUAGGAGGGAUGUUAUAGAUUACGUCAAUGCUUGCCAGGUAUGUGCUGCUAACAAGCCCUCUCGUCAACGUCCUUCUGGGGAGUUGCGACCCCUGCCAAUACCACAACGUCCUUGGUCAGACAUUUCCAGACUUUGUGACAGGAUUACCGGCCUCGAAAGGAAAUACCACAAUUCUCACAGUUGUUGACAGGUUCUCUAAAAUGGCUCACUUCUUUGCACUCCCGAAACUCCCCUCAGCUAAAGAUACUGCAGAGUUAAUGAUUAAUCAGGUAUUCAGGUUCCAGGGUUUCCCCAAGAAUGUGGUGUCUGAUAGGGGUCCCCAAUUCAUUUCGCAAUUUUGGAAGGAGUUUUGCAAUCUCAUAGGUGCUACUGUCAGUCUGUCAUCUGGGUUUCACCCUGAAACCAACGGCCAAACCGAGAGGCUGAACCAGGACCUGGAGACUGGGCUCCGAUGUCUCUCUUCACAGGAGCCGCGAUCCUGGUCUCAGAAACUGCCCUAGAGUCCACAGUUCCAGCGGCAUUGACCUUGGUGAGAUGCUGCAGGAGGACCUGGGAGCGAGCCCGCCAGAUGCUGCUGUGACAGGGACAUUCCUACAAAGCCGCUGCUGACCGUCGGAGGACACCGGUCACGAACUACAAAGUGGGUCAGCGAGUUUGGCUCUCGACCAAACAUAUUCCACUGCGGGUGGAGUCCAAGAAGCUCGCUCCCAGGUUCGUUGGGCCCUUCCCCAUCACAAAGAUCAUCAACCCUGUCACCGUCGGAGGGGGAGGGGGUUUCAAUAUCUGACGGACUGGGAGGGCUACGGCCCCGAGGAACGUUCAUGGGUGCCGUCUGCGUUUAUCAUGGAUGACUCGCUCAUUCGGGACUUCCACGUUGCGCAUCCAGCGGCCCCGGGGCCGUCUGGGUCCGGCCGUUAAGGGGGGGGGGGGGGGUACUGUCCUGGGUGUGUGUUCCGGUUUUUGUCUUCCCCCUGUUUCACACACACCUGCUCCUGAGAGCACCUUCACCACCUGUGCCUCGUUCACCCUAAUUACCUAUUGUAUUUAACCUCGUGUCUCAUUCUGUCUCGUCGCCAGUUCGUUGUUCCUUGUCGUCGCGUUCCAGCAUUCCUUGUUUCUAUGUCAUAGACUCACAGUAAGACUUGACCCUGUUCCGAUUAUCGACCUCGCCUUUUUGCUUCAUGGUUUGGGAUACUGUUGCCUUUUGGAUUGCUUGCCUGUGUACCGACCUAUGCCCGUAUAUUAAACCUCUCUUUUUUUAAACUGUC